GAUGAACGCUGGCGGCGUGCCUAAUACAUGCCAGUCGAGCGAACGGACGAGAAGCUUGCUUCUCUGAUGUUAGCGGCGGACGGGUGAGUAACACGUGGAUAACCUACCUAUAAGACUGGGAUAACUUCGGGAAACCGGAGCUAAUACCGGAUGAUAUUUUGAACCGCAUGGUUCAAAAGUGAAAGACGGUCUUGCUGUCACUUAUAGAUGGAUCCGCGCUGCAUUAGCUAGUUGGUAAGGUAACGGCUUACCAAGGCAACGAUGCAUAGCCGACCUGAGAGGGUGAUCGGCCACACUGGAACCGAGACACGGUCCAGACUCCUACGGGAGGCAGCAGUAGGGAAUCUUCCGCAAUGGGCGAAAGCCUGACGGAGCAACGCCGCGUGAGUGAUGAAGGUCUUCGGAUCGUAAAACUCUGUUAUUAGGGAAGAACAUAUGUGUAAGUAACUGUGCACAUCUUGACGGUACCUAAUCAGAAAGCCACGGCUAACUACGUG
rnacentral:rRNA from 1 species